rnacentral:rRNA from 1 species
AUUGAACGCUGGCGGCAUGCCUUACACAUGCAAGUCGAACGGCAGCGGACCUUCGGGUGCCGGCGAGUGGCGAACGGGUGAGUAAUAUAUCGGAACGUACCUUUCAGUGGGGGAUAACGUAGCGAAAGUUACGCUAAUACCGCAUAUUCUGUGAGCAGGAAAGCAGGGGAUCGCAAGACCUUGCGCUGAUUGAGCGGCCGAUAUCAGAUUAGCUAGUUGGUGAGGUAAAGGCUCACCAAGGCGACGAUCUGUAGCGGGUCUGAGAGGAUGAUCCGCCACACUGGAACUGAGACACGGUCCAGACUCCUACGGGAGGCAGCAGUGGGGAAUUUUGGACAAUGGGCGCAAGCCUGAUCCAGCCAUGCCGCGUGAGUGAUGA